rnacentral:misc_RNA from 1 species
GAUGAAGAACGUAGCGAAAUGCGAUAAGUAAUGUGAAUUGCAGAAUUCAGUGAAUCAUCGAAUCUUUGAACGCACCUUGCGCUCUUUGGUAUUCCGAAGAGCAUGCCUGUUUGAGUGUCAUGAAAAUAUCAACCUUGACUUGGGUUUUGUGCUCUAGUCUCGGCUUGGAAUUGGGUGCUUGCCGCUUUUACGAGCGGCUCACCUUAAAUGUAUUAGCUGGAUCUGUCUUUGAGACUUGGUUUGACUUGGCGUAAUAAGUAUUUCGCUAAGGACAUUCUUCGGAGUGGCCUCGUUUCUAGGACGCUUGUCCGCUUUCCAAUACAAGUUCCACCUCGUGGACAUGACUUUUUAUUAUCUGGCCUCAAAUCAGGUAGGACUACCCGCUGAACUUAAGCAAAUCAAUAAGCGGAGGA